UUACUUAUCUGGCAGAAGAGACACCUUGAUCAUGAAGGAGGUUUUCCCAGGGUGAGGCUCAGCCAUUAUACUGUGGCUGUGCUGACCCUUGCAAUUUCCCCAAAUGUGGGAAACUCGACUGCAUAAUUUGUGGUAAUGGGNGACUGCAUGUGCGCUUUCCCCUG
rnacentral:snRNA from 1 species